CUCAUAGGAGUUGGGAUGAAGAAGUUAUCCCACUUUCAAAUCAGGUGAUUCUAGUUUCCCAGUUUGGGAAUAAGACAACUUCUUCGUCGUUCAAAUUCAACCACGAUGAAUAAAUGUGUAAGAAUCUUGAUUUUGAUACAUAAAGUGUUGGAGAAUCACCAGGAAGUUGAAUAAAUCUAAUAGGAGUUGGGAUGAAGAAGUUAUCCCACUUUGAAAUCAGGUGAUUCUAAUUUCUCAGUUUGGAAAUACGAUAAGUUUGUCGUCGUUCCAGUUAAAGCUGGAUGAAUCACUUUGUAAGAGGCUUGAUUCGGUUACAUAAAGUGGUGGAGAAUCACCAGGAAGUUGAAUAAAUCUAAUAGGAGUUGGGAUGAAGAAGUUAUCCCACUUUCAAAUCAGGUGAUUCCAGUUUUCCAGUCUGGAAAUAAGACAACUUCUUCGUCGUUCCAAUCAAACAAAUAUGAAUCACUUUGUAAGAGGCUUGAUUCGGUUACAUAAAGUGGUGGACAAGCACCAGGAAGUUGAAAAUGUCUCAUAGGAGUUGGGAUGAAAAAGUUAUCCAACUUUCUAAUAAGGUGAUUCUAGUUUCCCAGUUUGGGAAUACAAGAACUUCUUUGUCGUUCCAAUCAAACCAGGACGAAUAACUUUGUAAGAAGCUUGAUUUGGAUACAUAAAGUGGUGGAGAAUCACCAGGGAUUUUAACAAACCUCAUAGGAGUUGGGAUGAAGAAGUUAUCCUUCUUUCACAUCAGGUGAUUCUAGUUUCCCAGUUUGGGAAUAAGACAACUUCUUCGUUGUUCCAAACAAACCAGGAUGAAUCACUUUGUAAGCAGCUUCAUUUGGAUACAUGAAGUGGUGGAGAAUCACCAGGGAUUUUAACAAACCUCAUAGGAGUUGGGAUGAAGAAGUUAUCCUUCUUUCAAAUCAGGUGAUUCUAGUUUCCCAGUUUGGGAAUAAGACAACUUCUUCGUCGAUCAAAUUCAACCAGGCUGAAUCACUUUGUAAGAAGCUUGAUUUGGAUACAUAAAGUGGUGGAGAAUCACCAGGAAGUUGAAUAAAUCUCAUAGGAGUUAGGAUGAAGAAGUUAUCCCACUUUCAAAUCCGGUGAUUCUAGUUUCUCAGUUUGGGAUUAUGACAAUUUCGUCGUCGUUCCAAUUAAAGAUGGAUGAAUCACUUUGUAAGAAGCUUGAUUUGAAUAUAUAAAGUGGAGUAGAAGCACCAAGAAGUUUAAAAAAUAUCAUAGGAGUUGGGAUGAAUAAGUUAUCCCACUUUCAAAUCAGGUGAUUCCAGUUUCCCAGUCUAGGAAUAAGACAACUUCUUCGUCGUUCCAAUCAAACCAGGAUGAAUCAUUUUGU
rnacentral:lncRNA from 1 species